UACCAGCACCCCGAGUGGUCGGGACGUUUAUUGGGCCUAAAGCAUCCGUAGCCGGUUCUACAAGUCUUCCGUUAAAUCCAACUGCUUAACAGGUGGGCUGCGGAAGAUACUAUAGAGCUAGGAGGCGGGAGAGGCAAGCGGUACUCGAUGGGUAGGGGUAAAAUCCGUUGAUCCAUUGAAGACCACCAGUGGCGAAGGCGGCUCACUGGCCCGAUACUGACGCUGAGGCACGAAAGCGUGGGGAGCAAACAGG
rnacentral:rRNA from 1 species